UCAGGAUGUGUAAGAAAAGAAAU
rnacentral:piRNA from 1 species